rnacentral:misc_RNA from 1 species
UGUAGGAGCCGGCUUGCUGGCGAUGGCCGCGCCGCGGUGUCACUGAUCAACCGCGUCUCGGCCAUCGCCAGCAAGCCGGCUCCUACA